rnacentral:tRNA from 1 species
AGUCUUUUAGUAUAUUUAGUAUGUUUGAAUUCCAAUCAGAUGGUUGUUGAGACUA